GUAGAAUUUGGUGACACGUAUACUACUAUUGCAAUGAUACAGAGAAGAUGAGCAGGGCCCCUGUGCAAUGACCCUAUUGAUGGUCCACUGAAUUGUGAUUAAAUGUU